UUCAAAGUAAAAGUUAUGAAACUUUUGUGUUAAGCCACAACUUUUACUUUGAAGG
ensembl:miRNA